CCCUGUUAGAUUACAAAGGUCCAACCACAACAACCAUGUCACGGAGCAGUAAAGCCAGCAUCAUCGCAUCUCCGACAAAUAGAUCAGUAGAUGGAAGAGGCAGAAUAAAGAGGGAGCGGAACAAGCUUAGUUCAACGUACCUAGCAGAUCACAGAAGGAACCCGACUGCUCGGAUGAGAAGAAAGCUGAGAAGGUAAGGAGGACGACGCCACUGAGCAGUGCUCCCUUCCUGGAAUGAGCUCUGUGAAAACUCAACUUUCCAUCUCCUUCAAAGGAGAGAGAGAGAGAGAGAGAGAGAGAGAGCACAGCUUUUUUGAAGCCUGUGUUGGAUUAAAUUAUGGCUGCUGCAUGACUAACCAUCCCCAGUACCCAACUUGCUUAGAUUUUAUAUGACCAUUUGAGAGAUGCGCUGUUGGAUUUGUUUUGCUUUCAAGGAUUGACCAUUGACUUUUUAGUGUCCACAGGAGGUAGGCGUUUCUUCCUUGCCAAAGAAAAGGAUGAUUUCAGCUCCAAGCAUACGUAAUCAGAUAAGUCCUUUUGACUAUAUAUAUAUAUAGUAUACAGCAUGAGUAUAUGUAUAAUAAGAACUCAUGCAUUCACAUGCCUUUGCUAGCAUUAAAGGAGCUCAUCAACUGGAUUCAAUGAACUAAUUUCAACUGGGCAGCUGCCCCCCUUGACUUUGAAGAGGUCUUAAGUUACUCCCACAGUACAGAAAUGGAGAGCAAACAAGAAGCCAAACCCGUCUUCUCAAUAGGAGAACAAAAAGCUCAUGUGUCUGUGGGACAUGGAACGGAGGUUCCUUGAAGCUUCACGGCUGCGAGCUCUCGUCAAAGAACAGCAGAUCUCUCUCGGGAAAACAACAGAGUAAGACAAGCAGGGAGUUGAAGACCGAGAAAAAGAUUCAACACUGGAUUACAUAUUAUAUUAUGUGGAUUGCUCGGUUCUGCACAUGCAAGCAUCCAAGAAUCGAAAGAGCAUUGCCACUCUUACUGUCUUUUUGACCCAUAUGCGGAGCUUGAAUGCAGAGUCUGCGACCGGUGAGCUCGCUCGCGAGCUUUCAGCGGCGGAAAGGAGAAGUUGACACGUAGCGUGGUCAAAUACCAUGUCUUCUUCGGACUGCAAUCCUGUGAGUACGUGUUGCCGUCCUCUCAUUUUUAGGUUUGUUUGGGGUCAUUCCGCUGCUUCCCAGAAAAACCAAUGGCAUUGUGCGUGUGGGGUGAAGGAGACGGGGGCAGUUGGUAGCUUUCCCCGCUGUUUCUUC